rnacentral:rRNA from 1 species
UUAUUUGAGAGUUUGAUCCUGGCUCAGGAUGAACGCUGGCGGCGUGCCUAACACAUGCAAGUUGAGCGAUUUACUUCGGUAAAGAGCGGCGGACGGGUGAGUAACGCGUGGGUAACCUACCCUGUACACACGGAUAACAUACUGAAAGGUAUGCUAAUACGGGAUAAUAUAUUUGAGAGGCAUCUCUUGAAUAUCAAAGGUGAGCCAGUACAGGAUGGACCCGCGUCUGAUUAGCUAGUUGGUAAGGUAACGGCUUACCAAGGCGACGAUCAGUAGCCGACCUGAGAGGGUGAUCGGCCACAUUGGAACUGAGACACGGUCCAAACUCCUACGGGAGGCAGCAGUGGGGAAUAUUGCACAAUGGGCGAAAGCCUGAUGCAGCAACGCCGCGUGAGUG